rnacentral:lncRNA from 1 species
AUGUUUGUUAUGCUACUGCCUUUUUCCACUGUCUCUUUCCCUUUCUCUCCCCCCCUCUCUCUCUCUCUCUCUCCCCCCUCUCUCUCUUAUUCCCCCCCGCUCUUCUCCCGGACCUUCUCUCUCUUCUCUCUCCUCUCUCUCCUCUAUUCCCCCCUCUCUCCUAAUAUUCCCCCCUCUCUCCACCCCUCUCUCUCUUCCUCUCAUCCUAUUCCCCCCUCUCUGCCCCCCUCCCCUCUCUCUCUCUCCCCUCUCCUCAUAUAUUCCCCCUCUCUCCCCCUUCUCUCUCUUCUCUCUCUAUUCCCCCUCUCCUUCUAUAUCCCCCCUCUCCCCCCCCCCUCUCUCUCUCUAUUCCCCCCUCUCUCACCCCCUUCUCUCUGCUCUCUCUCUCCCGCCCUCGUCUCUCUCUAUAGGUGGCGCCCCUCCUCUCUGCCCCCUUCCUCUCUCUCUCUCUAUUCCCUCUCCCUUUUCAACUCUCCCACCUCUCUCUCAGUCAGCCUCCCCCCCACUCUCUCUCUCCUCUCACUCUCUCUAGAAUUCCCCUCUCUCAGCCCCCUUUCUUCUCUCUCUCUCCCCCCCCUUAUCUCUCUCUCUCUCUAUAUAUGGACCUCCCUCUCUCUCUCUCUCUCUCUUACCUUCCCCGAUCUCUUAUUCUCUCCCCCCUCUCUCUCCUCUCUAUUUCUCUCCCCUCUCUCUCUUCUCUCUCUAUCCGUCCCUCUCCCCUCCCUCUGCUUCUCUCUCCUCUCUCUCUCUCUCUAUUCCCUCUCUUCUCCUCUCUCUCUCCUCUCUCAUCUCCCGUCUCUCUCUCUAUACCGCUCCCUCCCUCCUCUCUCCCAUCGUAUCCCCCCUCUCUCCCCUUCUACUCUCUCCUCAUCUCUCCCCCUCUCUCUCUCGUCUAUUCCCCCUCUCUCCCUCCUUCUCUCUCUCUUCUCUCUCCUCUCUAUUCCACUCGUCGCGCGCUGGACUUCUCCCUGGCUGCGGCGCGCGUCGUCGUGCCCUCUCCUAUCUAUACCUCUCUCUCCUCCCUCUCUCUCUCUCUCUUCUCCCUCCUCUCUCCCUCCUCUUCCCCUCUCUCUCUCUCUCUCUCAUCUCCCCCCCUCUCUCCUCACCCUCUCUCAUCUCUCCUCUCUCCUCUCACUCUCUCUCUCUCUAUUCCCCCUUCUUCUCCCCCUGCUCUCUCUCGUCUCUAUCUCUCUCUCUCUCUUUAUUUUUCUCUCUCUCUCAUUGUAG